rnacentral:snRNA from 1 species
AUCACUUCUCAGCCUUUUGGCUAAGAUCAAGUGUAGUAUCUAUGAACUAUGUUUAAUAUAGAAAUGAAAGUAAUUUAAUACUAUCA